rnacentral:rRNA from 1 species
UACGUAGGGUGCAGGCGUUAAUCGGAAUUACUGGGCGUAAAGCGUGCGCAGGCGGUUUCUUAAGUCAGAUGUGAAAGCCCCGGGCUUAACCUGGGAACUGCGUUUGAAACUGGGAGACUUGAGUGUGGCAGAGGGGGGUGGAAUUCCACGGUGGUAGCAGUGAAAUGCGUAGAGUAUGUGGAGGAACACCGAUGGCGAAGGACAGCCCCCUGGGUUAACACUGACGCUCGAUGCACGAAAGCGUGGGGAGCGAACAGG